rnacentral:rRNA from 1 species
UCUUUUCCUUGUGUGCCAGCAGCCGCGGUAAUACGUAGGUGGCAAGCGUUGUCCGGAAUUAUUGGGCGUAAAGCGCGCGCAGGCGGCUUCUUAAGUCCAUCUUAAAAGUGCGGGGCUUAACCCCGUGAUGGGAUGGAAACUGGGAGGCUGGAGUAUCGGAGAGGAAAGUGGAAUUCCUAGUGUAGCGGUGAAAUGCGUAGAGAUUAGGAAGAACACCGGUGGCGAAGGCGACUUUCUGGACGACAACUGACGCUGAGGCGCGAAAGCGUGGGGAGCAAACAGG